ensembl:snRNA U2 U2 spliceosomal RNA
AUGGUCUUUGCACUGCCUUUUUGUCUAAGAUCAAGUGUAGUAUCUGUUCUUAUCAGUUUGAUAUCUGAUAGUCCCCCAGCCAGGGACCAUAUAUUUAAUUGAUUUUUGGAACAGGGAGAUGGAAUAGGGGCUUGCUCCCUCCACUCCACGCAUCGACCUGGUAAAAAAAAUCUGUUCUUAUCAGUUUAAUACAC